GACGAACGCUGGCGGCGUGCUUAACACAUGCAAGUCGAGCGGUAAGGCCCUUUCGGGGGUACACGAGCGGCGAACGGGUGAGUAACACGUGGGUGACCUGCCCUCAGCUCUGGGAUAAGCCUGGGAAACCGGGUCUAAUACCGGAUAUGACUCCAUGACGCAUGUUGUGGGGUGGAAAGCCUUGUGCGGCUGAGGAUGGGCCCGCGGCCUAUCAGCUUGUUGGUGGGGUGANGGCCUACCAAGGCGACGACGGGUAGCCGGCCUGAGAGGGCGACCGGCCACACUGGGACUGAGACACGGCCCAGACUCCUACGGGAGGC
rnacentral:rRNA from 1 species